UACGUAGGGGGCAAGCGUUGUCCGGAUUUAUUGGGCGUAAAGAGCGUGUAGGCGGCCAGACAGGUCCGUUGUGAAAACUCGAGGCUCAACCUCGAGACGCCGAUGGAAACCGUCUGGCUAGAGUCCGGAAGAGGAGAGUGGGAAUUCCUGGUGUAGCGGUCGAAAUGCGCAGAUAUCAGGAGGAACACCAAUGGCGAAGGCAG
rnacentral:rRNA from 1 species